rnacentral:lncRNA from 1 species
CUGCCUUUAUAAAUUUGUCUACUCAAAGUAUCUCAGAUAAGUGGAACUGUACAGCAUUUGUCCUUUUGUGACUGGCUUAUUUCACACAGCGUAAUGUCCUCAAGGUCAUCCAUGUUGUAGCAAGUGUUAGAAUUUCCUUCCUUUUUAAGGCCGAAGAAUAUCCCAUUAUAUAUACAUACUACAUCUUGUUUAUCCAUUCAUCUAUUGAUGGACACUUGGGUUAGUUCCACGUUUUGUCUACUGUGAAUAUUUGUCUAUUGCUGCUAUGAACAGGAACGUACAAAUACCUCUUUGAGAUCCUGCUUUCAAUUCUUUCGGGUAUAGAUCCAGAAGUGGAAUUGCUGAAUCAUACGUCCCCAGGUACACAGCUGUACACUCUUCAUUGUGGGUCCCUCCAGCUGCGGCACGUGGGACGCCGCCUCAGCGUGGCCCGACGAGCAGCGCCCUGUCCGCGCCCAGGAUCCGAACCAACGGAACACUGGGCCGCCUGCAGCAGAGCGCGCAAACCCAAUCACUCAGCCACGGGGCCAGCCGCCUGAAUCCAUUACUUUUUAAGCCAACUACACUGUUGCUUGGAACAGAGACAAGAUCCCAGCCCAUUCUCUGCUUCUUCCUUAAUCCACUUUCUGCCCAGUGAAUAUUCCAAGAAGAACUGGACAGAGAUAAAUCAUUUUGCCUUGGAAAUUUAUCAGGUUGAAAAAAAUAAACAAGCUGAUGCCCUCCAAAACUCAGAAAAUCACGUUAGCCUAAGGAAAACGAAGAAGUAAUAACAAUACGAUGACACUUCCAUUCUGGCAAGGCGACCCCAUGUAUGGUAGUGCAGCUGUGGAGAGUGCCGUGGUCUGGAAUCAUUCAAAGAAGCAUCUUUGGCAAUGGGAGCCUCAGUGAAACUCCACAACAAAAAACUCAGGCGAUCAGACUCAUUUGCUAGCUCCCAUGUUCUGGUCAGCCUUUCUACCGUCCUUGGUCUGGCUUCACACACUGGCAUACCAACCUAGUAGGAUUCUGCCACCCUGAGACAAGACGGAUUUGAUGUUAGGAUGACCUUGAAAGACGUCCUUCUGUUAACAAGCCUGCCAGGUUACAGACAUCCUUGGUUACAGCUCAACCAGUGUGGCUUGGAAAAGUCUCCAACCAGGAUGACUGGGCAUGAAUCAGUGGGCGAUUCCUGCAGUCAAAAGAUAGGGUCCGUGCUCCUCCAAAGGAGAAAACAAGUCGUUUAAUCUGCAGGGACAAGAUAGAAUAUGUAAAGGCCCAUUGGCAAAAUCUUGGUCUCUGUCAAAUUUAAAAUUAGAUGGGUCACUGAUAGAGAGAUGAAUGGAUCUCUCCAGAUAUCAAUAAACAUAAACCAACAGGACUGUG